CGACCAUCUGGGACCUGCUGCGCCGGUUUUUCUGGUUUCCGGCUACCAGGGGGCGCUAGGACCCAAUCGGACGUGCUAGGAGGGGCGGCGGCCAAGUGGUCCGGGAGCCGCGCGUUCGGGUGUGGGGGACCGUAGCUUGGACCCGGGAGGGCUGCAAGCCUACUCAAGCUGCUUUUCUUCUUCCAUCACCUUCUCCUUUCGCUGUACACGGGCCACACAGUGGAACUGCAGCGGUGAAAACGACUGAAGUCGGGGCGCUGUAACCUCCUGACCACCCUGAGGAGCGGCAGCGGAAACACAAGUAAGAAUGGAGGAUGCUCUUCUCCCUAGAAGCUAACAAAGGGUCAAGUCUUUCUCUGUGAAAUGGCUGUAGAAUAUAAACAGAGGCUCCUGGCAUUUCCCUCCUGGCUCAGUUCAAGAACCACCCACUCCAAGCUGUCUUCCUGGAUUUUCUCAGCCCAAAGUAAUCCUUCUUUUUCUGAGGUAAGUUAUAAAUCUUGUUAUUGUUCAGUUGCUAAGUCGUGUCCAGCUCUUUGUGACCCCAUGGACUGCAGCAUGCCAGGCCUCCCUGUCCAUCACCAUCUCCUGGAGUUUGCCCAAGUUCAUGUCCUUUGAAUCGGUGAUGCCAUCCAACCAUUUCAUCCUCUGUCACCCCCUUCUCCUGCCCUCAAUCUUCCCCAGCAUCAGGGUCUUUUCCAGUGAGUCAGCUCUUCACAUCAGGUGGCCAAAAUAUUAGAGCUUCAGCUUGAGCAUCAGUCCUUCCAGUGAAUAUUCAGGGUUGAUUUCCUUUAGGAUUGACUGAAUUGAUCUUGCUGUCCAAGGGAUUCUCAUUGCUCUUGGUUUAUUUGUUUUAUUUAGACUCCAUUCACUGUUUUACAAUCAUACCCUUUGCUUUGUACUUAUUUGGCUUUGUUUUGGGCCAUGCCACGGCAUGUGGGAUCUUAGUUCCCCUGCCAGGGAAGUCCCUGUACUUGUUCAUAUUCAUGACUUCUAUCCUCUACCUGAUUUUAAAUUCCUUGAGGGAAGGUACUUAGGUUGUUCAACUUUAAAUGAAUAAUUUUCUUUCUCAUCAUCAGGUACAAAAGAGGUUCAACAGUGAGUAUUGCAGAUGCUGAGCUUCAUCUGUGAACAAAACCUACCGAGUCUCUGACCUCAUGGAACUCAUGAUGUGGACUCAGGGCCACACAGGAACAACUCACAGCAAACUACAGGGACACUCAUGACAGGUCUGUGCCCAGGGAAGUCCACCAAGUCUCCAGGUCUGAGGCAUUUAUGAAACAAAACUCAAGUCUCAAAUGAAAGGAUCCCUGAAGACUUCCUUAUGGAUUUUGUCUCUGGGAACAUGUGAGUUCCUGUCUGAGUUUAACAGAGAGUUUAAAAUAUGUAUCAUCACUUAUAGUCAGAGUCUUACAAAUUAAAACAAAACAUUAUUUCCCUUAACAAAUUGGCAGAGACUUUUCAAAAAUAUUAUUACUCAGUGUCGGCCAAAGUAUGAAGACACAGGUACUUAUAUGCCAUGCUGGUAGAAAUGUAAAUGAAUACAACCUUUGUAGAAACCCAGUUUGUAGUCUGGAACAAGGGCCUGAAAAUGUUCAUAUUCUUUUUCCCAGUAAGCUCAAUUCUAGGAGAUUUAUUUGAAGGAAAUGAUCAGAGAUUACAUGCAAGAAUGUACCUUGCAACAAUUUUGUAAUACUAAAAUCUUGGAAACAACAAAGAUGUUUAAUACUCAGGAAAUAGUAUCAUCACACGCUGGAAUAUUAUGCAGCCAUCAGUAUGGAUGGUUUUGAAUAUUGACACAUAGAAUAAUGAUGAUGGUGGUGGUGGCCAGGAUUUAUUAAUCACUUACUAUUUGCCAGGGAUGACUAUACCUCUUUAAAUGAAUUCUUGUAUCGUCGCAGCAGUGCUUUGAGGAUACCUCAGAGUUUCCUCAAGACUCUGAAGUGAGAAACGCCAGAUUGGCAGGGUAGAGAGAAGGACACAACACUUGGAAGAAGCUUGCAGAGCCUGUCUUGUCAUAGGCAGCACACUUUGGUGCCUUACUGACCUAGGAGACCUUCUGUAAUGAAGGCAGUGUUUCUUUAUACUCAUCAUCACUAAUUAUUAGGGAAAUGCAAAUCAAAACUACAGUGAGGUGUCACCUCACACCAGUCAGAAUGGCCAUCAUUAAAAAGUCUAAUAAAUGUUGGAGAGGGUAUAAAGAAAAGCUAACCCUCCUACACUGUUGAUGAAAGUAUAGGUUAGUACAGCCACUAUGGAAAACAGUAUGGCAGUUCCUCAGAAGACUAAAAAUAGAAUUACCAUCGGAUCCAGCAAUCUCACUCCUGGACAUAUAUCCAGACAAAACUCUAAUCUGA
ensembl:lncRNA